rnacentral:tRNA from 1 species
GACUCGGUAGUUCAACAGGAUAGAACAAGUGCCUCCUAAGCUCUAGAUCUGGGUUCGAGUCCCGGCCGGGUCA